GCCGCCGCCGCCGCCGCUGCCGCUGCCGCCGGGUCCCGCUCGGCUCGGCGCGGCGCCGUCACGUGUGCGGCUCGCCAGCCGCGUCCCCUUCGCGCACUUUCUGCACUCGGCGGCCUCGGCGCGACUCGGGCCCCUCCCCCGAGCGGGGAUGGGGAAGUCAAGGCAGCGAGCGCCCGCUGGGGUGCGUCUCCAUGCCCGCCGGCGGGCGCACCGCGUCGUCCGCUUUGCGGCAAUCAGAGAGUUGUGCUGGGGCUCGCUCGUCUUCCCCGGAGUUAGUUGCCUCCUCUCCCGGGUCGCGUCGAGGUCGUACUAAACCGUGGCGGGUCUCCUUUUCUGCCUGCAACAGCCCCGGGUCCCGUCCGGCCGCACGCCCACCUCCAAGGGAGAGUCCCCGGAGCCGAAGAAAAUUCGCUCUGAGCACGCAGAACACAGCAGCGGGCAAAUCAGAGUGCAGAUGAACCCGCCCCCAUUGUGAAACUCACACGGUUUCUACUACUGUGGGCAUCAAAACGUUCUUGACGCGGCCGCAGCCGGAAACUACCCUCGAUCAAGCUAAACUGCCCAGAGCCCAAGCACAGUAACUAUGCCCCCUGCAUAGAGGCAGUAACAGCAAGGGUACAUCUGGCAAGAGAUUUGCCAUCCCUGGACAAGUACACGGUUAUACAAUGGUUCCUUGCACACGUGAAUACCUGUGCAUAACCCAGGGCCCCUGCGCAGUGGCUUGCCUGUGACCCUGCAGGGUGACCCAGCACUGAACCACCCUACCCUCUCCUGCAAAAUGGACGUAUACACGAGUCCGUUCAGCCUGCAGUCAACACCUGCUGCAAAUCUUCUACAAGCCUGUAAAGCUUGCCAUUGGGGGCAGGAGGAACAGACACUCAAAGAGUGAGGGGGACCCACGUUAACCCUAAAUUCAGCUUGAGAAUCCAGACCCUCUCUGAACCACCAGAUACUAUUCCUACAGUGGGAACUGCUGAGGCACACGCAAGAUUUUCCACACCUUGUAAAUCGCCACAUAUCAAACUCUCCUUAAAAUAUCUCAUCUCAUGUGCGACUCAGAAUGCUUGUGAGAUUCACUCAACCUGACAUUCAAUCAACAUCCGUCAACUGACAGCAUGGAAAUUAAGAUGAGAAUAACUGUCCCUGAGUGCUCAACAUCGCUUCGCAUCAGGGAAAUCCAAAUCAAACCCUCAAUGAGAU